UACGUAGGGUGCAAGCGUUGUCCGGAAUUAUUGGGCGUAAAGAGCUCGUAGGCGGUCUGUCGCGUCGGCUGUGAAAACCCGGGGCUCAACCCCGGGCCUGCAGUCGAUACGGGCAGACUAGAGUGCGGUAGGGGAGACUGGAAUUCCUGGUGUAGCGGUGAAAUGCGCAGAUAUCAGGAGGAACACCGGUGGCGAAGGCGGGUCACUGGACCAUUACUGACGCUGAGGCACGAAAGCUAGGGGAGCAAACAGG
rnacentral:rRNA from 1 species